GGGACCGUAGCUCAGCUUGGUUAGAGCGCACGGCUGAUAACCGUGAGGUCCGGGGUCCAAAUCCCCGCGGUCCCACCA
rnacentral:tRNA from 1 species